CUCAGAACAAAAAAUCUCCUUGAGAAUCUACUCUCCCGACUCCAUCCAGCGGUUCUCCUUUUGCACACCAGGCACCGGGCCGGUUGCUAACUGGCUUUUGGAUUCUCCUCUGCCAGUGCCAAACCAAAUCCCCUCUUGAGAUUGUCUGCUUCCCGUUGUCAGAUAAGUGCCGAAACAUCAAACAUCAAAAAAAACUAUUUACUUUGUGGAUUUUUUUCUUGCAUCCUCAGGUCCCUCAGCGCCGUGCUUCUGUGAGCCAACUCGUCGAGUCCCUCACAGGCCACCGGAACACCGAUGGACCCCAGAUUGCAGAAUACCACUCGAGAUCUAUCUUCUCUGCUGGAUAUUUAUACUUUCUUCGACGUCCGUAUGAUUCGCAUCCGUACUCUCCCUCUUUGAUGGUCGAGCCAGGACUGCGAGUCCACUUCCCUGUCUCAGAUUGGGCGCCAUUAUUGUUACGAACCUUUGUUUUUCUUUGGGGCAAGGCCGGCUAGCCAGUCAUCCCAGGGCUGGAUACUUCCCAAGCCCUCAGGUCGCACAACAACCAACUGAUUGGACAUCUCGAACAAAAUGUAACAACAAAAAUAACCGACAAGAAAAAAAACUGAAAGAAACGGAC